rnacentral:rRNA from 1 species
AUACGGAGGGUGCAAGCGUUACCCGGAAUCACUGGGCGUAAAGCGCGCGCAGGCGGCUUGAUAAGUUGGAUGUGAAAGCCUACGGCUCAACCGUAGAACUGCAUCCAAAACUGUCAAGCUAGAGUCUGGGAGGGGAAGAUGGAAUUAGUUGUGUAGGGGUAAAAUCCGUAGAGAUAACUAGGAAUACCAAAAGCGAAGGCGAUCUUCUGGAACAGUACUGACGCUGAGGCGCGAAAGCGUGGGGAGCAAACAGGAUUAGAAACCCGAGUAGUCC